rnacentral:lncRNA from 1 species
AAGCCUCGAACUUGGAGCGUCGCGUCUUAAAAUCCGCUCACAAGAAGACGAGAAACCGGCGAAGUCGAGAGCAAACAAAGAACCUAUCGGUGUUCCAAGGUUUUAUAAGGGUUUUAGAAGCUCGAGACCUCAGUGAGGUUUUUGCUUCUCAGGAAGAACAAGGUUGCGGUCUUGUCUUCCGUCUUGGCUCGAUCAAAAGCUCGAUUUCCAAUAGAAAAAUCGUAGCCUUGCUCGACAAGAUUUCUUGUUGUAUCUUGCUCUAUUGUUUUGGAGCUUGGAAGUCGAAUUUAUAAUGAUCAG